rnacentral:lncRNA from 12 species
GUAUACAUUCUGUUGACUAAGAAUAAAGCAAUUUUCUUUCUUUCUUUCUUUUCCUUUUUCAUUCCUUCUUUCUUUUCUUUUUUUUUUUCCUUUUCUUUCUUUCUUUCUUUCUUUUUUUUUUCCUUUGGCAGUGUCUGCUUUAUUUUGUGUAAAGAGUCUGGAAACACGAUUUUCAGCAUGGCUUGCAAAGCAUGUAUGGGCAAGUUUUAAGAGCAUAUUUGUACACCACCCCAGGCAUGUCUUUAUGGAUCCACGACUAAUAAUGAAUUUGCACACACCAUGCAGCAGAGACGCUAUGAAUCUUCUAUAAAGAUACAGACAUUUGAAAUGCCAAGCUUUGGAAACAACAGGAUUACAACCUUUGAAGAAAGAGAAUGGGUCUGGACUUAAGUCAUCCAUUGUGGCAUCAGAUAUCGGAUCACUAGGACAUAAACCUGUGGCUUACCUGUGAGAAGUCCAGAGUCAAUCAAUGUUCACACAUAGAGAAUUCCUUCUGCAUUACUUGAGUUAGACGAAGAUACUACACUCAGUGCUAGCUGCUUUUUGAAACCCUAAAACAUAUUCCUUUUGGCAGCAAAGUCCGGGGAAGAUGUUUUCGUGUGAUCUGUUACUAGAAUGUAAGGUUCUAGAGAGCAGAAAUGCAUUUAUACCCUGGUGCAGUCCUAACACCAAGAACAGUGCAUGAUACAUAGUAUAUGCUCAGUAAAUAUUCUAUGCAAUGCCUUCAAUUUAAAAUUUUCUGUUUUUAUUUUAACACUUAGUUCCUGCUUAUAAAUCAGUUCAUUAGAGAAAUUUGGAAAAAUUUUGAAACCUAAA